GCAGUUGUGGAGGGGAGUGAUGGAGCAGCUUUGUUGGACACCUGGCCUCCAGGCAGGGUCAAACCACCACAAGAGCACUUUGACAUCCUAAGAAGAGAACAAGGCACCACGGACUCCCACAGCAGACCAAGUAAAAAGGAAAAUAUUUUAAAAGAGAUCAGUGCCUGUAACACCAUUGG